rnacentral:tRNA from 1 species
GGUGGCAAAGCUCAAGUGGUAGAGCUCCUGCCUGGUAAACUCCAGAUCCUGAGUUCAAACCCCAGUACCACCA